rnacentral:rRNA from 1 species
GACGAACGCUGGCGGCGUGCUUAACACAUGCAAGUCGAGCGGUAAGGCCCUUUCGGGGGUACACGAGCGGCGAACGGGUGAGUAACACGUGGGUGACCAGCCCUCAGCUCUGGGAUAAGCCUGGGAAACCGGGUCUAAUACCGGAUAUGACUCCAUGACGCAUGUUGUGGGGUGGAAAGCCUUGUGCGGCUGAGGAUGGGCCCGCGGCCUAUCAGCUUGUUGGUGGGGUGAUGGCCUACCAAGGCGACGACGGGUAGCCGGCCUGAGAGGGCGACCGGCCACACUGGGACUGAGACACGGCCCAGACUCCUACGGGAGGCAGCAGUGGGGAAUCUUGCGCAAUGGGCGAAAGCCUGACGCAGCGACGCCGCGUGAGGGAUGACGGCCU